GAUUCCCCCCUUAUUACGUUUUCGUAGCGCUUUGCAUUGUAGUUAUAGUGGUAUCCACAAUGCAAAGCGUUACGAAAACGUAAUAGGGGGGAUCGCUAAUUGG